GAAUAUGCUACCAAAAUUCUCCCAAAGCUGCCAUGAUGUGAUUAGCGCGUGGAUGGAAAUGUUGUCAUCAGAUGGAAAAUGUGAGAUUGACGUUUGGCCUUUCCUUCAGAAUUUGACUCGUGAUGUAAUUUCUAGAACAGCUUUUGGAAGCAGUUAUGCAGAAGGAGAAAAAAUAUUUGAACUUCUGAGAAUUCAAGGGUACCUUGUUGCGACUACAACGAGAAACAAAUUCAUAUUGCGGUAAGACCACACUUAUUCUUGGUAUAAUUAAGCAUGUUUUAGUUUUAUUGAAACUAAACUCACCAUCAUGAAUUUCAUAAGAACCUCAUAGAAUCACCCUAAAAGCUAAUCAUUAUAGAUAGAGAUUAAGCUCUCCAUAACAGCAAAUCACUGCCAUAGUGAUGACAAAUAACCAUGAAUUACAUACAGGUUUUGAUUUAAGUAUAUUUGAUAUUUGUUUUCAAGAAAUGUGGCAUACCGAAUGACUAAUACAAGAACUAGAGUUACUGCUGUCAGAAUUCAACAUGUUAGGAAAUUGACCUAUCUUAGUUUAGUUAAGAAUCAGUAUAAGUCUCAUAAACUAGUCCUUUCCUUCAUAAUUAAUAUGGAUGUUUCUAGGCAUAUACCAACACCUGCCAAAAUGAAGUUGAGAGCAGUUGAUAAGGGAAUGAAAAAUUCAAUUCGGGUUAUCAUAGAAAAACGAGAGAAAGCCUUGAAGAAUGGUGAAUCCAGCAAUGAAGAUUUAUUAGGCAUACUUUUGGAAUCAAAUCAAAUGGAAAUACAGGGAAAUGGAAACAGUAAGAGUGUUGGAAUGACAAUUGAAGAAGUAAUUAGUGAAUGCAAAUUAUUCUACUUAGCAGGGCAAGAGACCACUUCAUCUCUGCUGGUUUGGACAUUGAUCAUGUUGGGUAAAUAUCCUAAAUGGCAAGCACGAGCAAGGGAGGAAGUUCUUCAUGUUUUUGGAAAACAAAAUCCAAACUUUGAUGGGUUAAGUCUGCUUAAAACUGUAUGUAUCACAUGCUUUCAUUUGAUUAUCUUUAUUAUCUAUUAAAAAUACAUUUUCAUACUAACAUGUGCCAAAAUGUUUCUUCUGUAGAUGACCAUGAUUCUGUAUGAGGUUCUGAGGUUAUACCCUCCUGUCAUUUACUUCAAUCGCACUCUUCAGAAGGACAUGGAACUUGGAAACUUGUCAUUACCCGCAGGAGUAGAUGUUACCAUGCCAAUACUUUUACUUCACCAAGAUGGUGAUAUCUGGGGUAAUGAUGCAAAGGAGUUCAAACCAGAAAGGUUCUCUGAAGGAAUUGCUAAGGCAACAAAAGGCCAAGUCUCCUUUUACCCAUUUGGAUGGGGUCCUAGAAUUUGCAUUGGCCAAAACUUUACCAUGUUGGAAGCCAAGAUAGUGUUGUCAUUGCUUCUGCAGAAUUUUUCGUUCGAGCUUUCUCCUGUCUAUGCACAUGCUCCUGUACUUAAGCUUACCUUGAAUCCCAAACAGGGGGCGCCUCUUAUUUUGCAAAUGCUAUGAUGAUAAACCUUCUGUUUUGUCACUGAUUUAGAAUAGGCGGUCUCUCGCUGGACCGUCUAGUGUGUCUUUGGUGGUGGAGACGGUCUCCCACUAGAUCGUCUAGUGUAUUAUGUGUAGAUAUCUCCCUUUGGUAUCGUCUAGUUUAUUUGAUCUUAUAGACAAUCUAGUAUUGAGAUUGUCUAGCAUUUUUGUUCUCAGUAGACCGUCUGAUGUUUUCACACAACCCAGAUUGUCUAGUCUACAUGUCGGUUAGACCAUCUUGAUGAUUAGUCUAUUACGAGUUUGACAUCUUGAUGAUUAGUCUAUUACGAGUUUGUUUUGUUGUUUUGUUUAACGUUUGAUCUUCUGUGAUUUGGUUGUAUGUAUGUUCAUCCCUUGCCUUCUUUUGAUUGGGUAAUAAUAACAUUUUCUUAUGCUCAUUUUUUGUCUCUCACUGAUUUCGCUUUCGUUUCUCUCUCUUUUUCGCUUCUUCACUUCUCACCUUAUGUCGUGAAGCCUUCACUGAUUUCGCUUUCGUUUCUCUCUCUUUUUCGCUUCUUCACUUCUCGCCUUAUGUCGUGAAGCCUUAAAUGAUAUUGUAUGAUUUCAUCUUGGAAGAAUGACUUGAGUGUCGUGUUAUAUAUGAUAAUUGAUCAUAUUUUGACCUAAAAGGUCAUGGUUUUAGAUCUACAAAAUAGUCUCACUCAAGGUGGUCAAAAUCGAGAUCUUACUUACGAUUAGAAAGAUAAACAUGAAUCGUAAAUCGGAAGAUUGUAACACGGAUAGUAAGAUCCUACAAAUUUUAUGAAAUUCAUAAUUAAACCUCAUAAUAUAAAAGAGUACAUAAUUAGAUGUAAACAACAUAUAUAUCCUAUAUCCUAUCAUAAAAGUAACCAUUUUACUAGUUACAAAACAGGGGAGAAGGAGAAGUUGAGAGGGAAGGGGAGAGGUGAUGUGAGUUGAUUUUAGGUGAUUCAUUUAGGUGACACUUUUAGAAUUAGGAUUGAAAUUAUUAGCAAUUAAUGUGACAAGUCUAAGGAAAAUUUCCACUGGACAUUAACUUAACAAGUGUUAAGUAGAUGUGAAUGUUCAUUUCCAUAAGACCAAAGGAAAAAUACAAUUAUAGGUGAUUAUGAAUGACAAAUCAAGGUGAGGAAACAAGAACACAAAGCAAGACAAAUAAACCGAAUAGGAACAACAAAUAAAGCAAUUGAACCAAUUAGAAUGAUUAAACAAAACAAAGGAACCGAAUAGAAUCAAGAACACAAGAACAAGACAUAUUUAGAUAUUGAAAUGGAAUGGAAAUGGAAUGGGAAGAUGAAGGAUAGGAAAACUUAUGUGGUUGAAGCUUGGGAAGAAGGUCAUGCCACUUGGAAUGGUGAAUAUGCUCCAAGAUAAGUGAUGUUGCCGCCACUUGAGAGCUCUCAAACACUGUCAAGAUAAGACUAAGCUAGGAGAAACAAUUCUCACUAUUCUCACACAAUUUGUGUAUAGUAACUUUACUCUUCAUUCAAUGUGAAUUUACAUGAGCCAAACACCUCUAUUUUUAGUGUGAAAGGGCUGAAAUCCAAAAGGAAAAUAGGUGGGAAAUUCAAAAGGCAAACCAUUCAAAAUGGCGCCUAAAAGAGAGUCACAUGGAAGGUGUGACUUGUUUCCAUUUCUUUUCAUAGGCCCUAAACUUCUAUCCACACCUUCCUUUUUAUGUUCUAUUAAAUCUACUCUAAAGAAAUUACAAAAAGAGACAUCAAUUUGAUAUUCAUCUCCUAAUAUUUGUGCCCUGCUUUUAGUAAUCCUCUGAGGCAUGGUGGAUGAUGAGAUCAAGGAUUGAGCUUGGGCUUGGGCCUAAUUUUUAAGAAGACUAAUAGGAAGAACUUCAAAUGCUUUGGACAUUUUCCAUUCCUCCUAUUGAUAAGGUCUUCCUUUGCUUGUUGAGAUGACCCGUCAAAGUUGGCAUUCAUGGUCAUCUUCUUGUGGAUUUGGAUCGUAUCAAGAGGUCAUGAAUGACUGCAUUGGCUUAAAAAAUUUAAUUAAAAAUUAAUUUUAUUGGAGAAGUUGUUAGUUUUCAAUAAAAAAUUAAAAUUUUCACUGUGCAGUAAGUGAUUUCUUUUACUACGCGGUAAAUGGGUUAUUUUCACUUAUUUGAGUUUUUUAUUUAAUUGAGCCCAUAUGUUGUUUCCUCCAUCUUAAAUAGAAACCCUAAUAUCAACUAUAUGUUGUUGUUGUUGUUGCCUCCAUCUUAAAUAGAAACCCUAAUAUCAACUAUCCCAUUUGUUGCCAAUCCACACCCACUGUUCAGCCAUAGUGCCGCAUGUCGUCGCGUUGAGACACUAUAAGUGUUGCCGCGUUGCCGCAAUGAUGAGUGUUGCAUGUGGCGAUUUCCAGCACCGCUAAACUAGACGAUUCCACGCGAGUUGUGAUUUACAACGCUGAUCCCACGCGAUCCACCGGAAUCGUAUUAUUUUGGUAAUCGUAGAUCGGCACCAUGAGUAUAUAUCGUAAAAUCGUACGAUUUUACGAUGCAACUCGCGAUUUUGACUACCAUGGUCUCACUGCAUACACAAUAAGACUAUGCAUAUGUCACUUUGUUUAGAGUGAUACUUUAGAGCAUUCAUAGUUUGGGGAGUAAGCCAUAUAUUUUACAUCUUUCAUUGUGUGAAGUUUGCCUUGUGAGCUUUCACAGUUUGCUCUCUUAUCGAUAAUGGUUUUUUGACUUAUUGAGAGGUCUUAAUCUCAAAGGGAGAUUAGGACUACUUGGAGAGGUGUAGAAUACUUGUGUAUCUGUAGAGGUGAAGAAUACUUGUGUACCUGAAGAGGUGUAGAGUACUUAUGUUGAUAAAGGCUCUUAAGCAAGUAGCUUAAAGGGAUUGAACGUAGUCCAAGUUGUGUGUGAACCAGUAUAAAGUCUGUGCGUACUUUACUUCCUCUCCUUUCUCUAUGUUUUAGAUAUUAUUUUGGCUUGAUAUUUUGCAAGUACAAAAAAAAGUUUGUGCUCUAUUCAAUCCCCCUUUUAGAGCUUAUUGUACCUUCAAAGCUCACUUGGAUGCACCUCAAAGUAAUUAAAAUAAAUUUGUUCACUCACUUCAAUGUAUGUCAUUGAUUAAUCUAAUAACUUUUAUUUAUACUUGUAGUGCAAUAAGAAAUCUGGAAGUUAUGAGUGUGGUUACUAUGUAAUGUAGUGGAUGUCAAUCAUUGUACAUGAUGGAAUUGAUAGAGGUUGGGAUUAGAUAAAAUAUCAAUAUACUAAUAAAUUGAAAUUUAGUAUUUAUUACUUAUGGACUAAUCGAAACAAUUUUCGAAUAUUACAAUUUUUCAAUGAUCCACAACCACUGGACUCAUAAGCACUGGAGUAACCAUAUAUACAACGUUAGGGUAGAUGAUUGAUUAAAAUGACAUUAAGUUGACUAUUAAACUUUUUAAUAUUCAAUUUUUUUGCAUAAAUUAUGGUGUUUUAUUGAGUUUUUGUGUUUAAGUUUAGCUUAAAUAAAAUACAUAAUUGUAGUAACUAAGGAUUUAAAACACGAAUAAAAUUGAUUUCCUGAGGCGUGCGUGAUCACUGUCCAUAAGGACUUCUCCGCAGUGUAUUGUGCAAGUCCCUUAGAAUACAAUAGGAACUUCUCAGAAAUUCCAAGGAUCAGAACUAGCAAACUACUCUUUAAAAGAUUAAGAACCCAACAAACCCAAAAAAUUUAUAAAUUAAAAUAAAAGAAUAAAUAAGUGAAGAGAAGAAGCGUGACUGAGAUGAUUAUUUUCGGAGCAAGGGGAGGCAGUAUUUAUAGAUGAAGGAAGAGCAACCAUCCACUGUGAAGAUAUAAAAUUGCUCCAUAUCCAACUGCUAAGGAAAACGGAACCUUCCUAGUGUUGACCGCCAGAAGCGGAAGGGACCACCGAAAAUGUGGGGAAGACCGUUGGAAAAAAGGAACACAGAGAAAAGAAGGGUGUGAACCUUCCUGAUUAUGCGUCCACAAUUCUGGGUGGAUAGGGCAACGUCGCGCGUCAACCUCGACGCAAAUCCAGUCUUCACUGCACUUUCAAGAUCCCCUCCAACGGCACCAAAAAAUUGUUAGGAUUUUUUGCACACAACCUGCUUUCGUUUUGCAAUAUUUGUUCAUACGAUUUUACAACAAUAAUAAAAAUUUGAAAGAAAUAUUUUAAUUUAAAAAAAAAAAUCUACACCAUUUUUUGAAAAUUGAGAAAUAGUGGAUUUGUGUUUGCUUGUGUGAAAAAAUAAUAAACAAAACAAUACUAAAUACCAAAUAAAUUCAUCAACGGGAAUGAACAUAUAUAAACAAAUGAAUUGGAUAAAAAUAGUUACACAUUUACUCAUAAGAAAAGAGUGGAUUUGUGCUUCUUUUGAGAACCUUCUGUAAUUGUUCACAUAUAACACAUGAAUAAUAAAAAAAAAAACUCAAAACUUGAUAAGAAAUCAAGAAUCAAUUAAGAUUAGAAAUUUAAAAUUUUAAAACUAUUACCUUAUUUAUCUAAGUUAUCCUUUUUCUGUAAAUUUUGUAACCAUCAAAGCACCCAUUUUAGACUUGCGUAAGAGAAAAAAACAAAUGGAGAUUUGAAAUUAAAAAAUUACUACCUUAUUUAUGUAAGUUGUUUUUCUUGUGCAAGCCAACACCCCAACACCCCAUUUUAGAUUUCCGUGAAAGAAAAGAAAACACCUAUUUUAGGUUUGCGUGGGAGAAAAAGCAAAUGAAUUGAUAUUGAAGAUUUGAAAUUCAAAAACUAUUAAGUUAUUUAUGUAAGUUAUUUUUUUUGUGUAAACUUUGCACCAGCACCCCAUUUUAGCUUCCGUGAAAGAAAAAAGAAGAAACCCUGAUUUGAUCCCUCGAUAGUACCUUCCACAUUUGUUCCCUUGAUAGCACCUUGCAUUUGUACACGUGUCUUAGUAGACCACUUUGUGUGCUCACUGUCAUCAUAGAUUUUAGCUUUACUUUAUUUGCUUUAAUUUUUAUUUCUUUUUUAUUAUUUUAAACUUGAAUAAUUAAUUGAAUUCUGAAAGUUUUAAUAAAUUUGACCAAAAAUUUGGUUUACAAAUUUUGAAAACUUUAUUGAUUUUCUUAAUUAAAAAUAGCGUUAAAAUCUUAAACUUAACACCAUAAAAGAUAUAUUGUAACUGAAUAUGUUACAACUAAAUUCUAAUUCAAAAAUCCUACACUCAAAAGUAAAAAUGUAAAAACUAACCAUAAAACAUAAAUUAUAAAAUGGAUAGUCACGUCGACUAAAGAUUAAAGUAUUUUAUUGUAUAUAAGUGAGUGCAAGCCAGUUUUAUGAGUUAAAAUUAGCCUUAAAGUCAAUUUCGUAAUAUUUUCCUCUUUAACUUUCUUUAUUUUUUUUCUGUCUAUUUUAUCCUUAUUCCAAGCAUAUUUGAUUUUAUUUUAUUAUUAUGGACAUUGGCGUCAUUUUUUAUUUUUUUAAAAAAUUUAAAUUUUCAAACCUUAAAACCUUUUCGAAACACUUCAAAUUUCAAAAUUUGUAAAUUUGUAAUUUUUCAAACACUAAAUCCUUUUCGAAACACUUCAAAUUUUAAAAUUUCAUAUUUUAAAAUUUUCAAAAAUUUUGAAUUUUAAAAUUUUAAAAUCUUUAAAUUUAAAACUAAAUUGAAGGCUUUAUAAACUCAUCAAACAUCUUUUUCAUUUUUCACAGUUUAAAUAAGCGAAGGAGCAGUUCUCCAUUUGAUAUAAUGAGAAUUUUUCUAUUUGAUUUAUUGAUCACUUUUCCAUUUGAUUUCGUCAUUUCUUACCAUUUUAGUUAGUUCAAUCAAAGAACUUAAGAUCAAAUUGGCACAUGCUCUUUUUUUCAUGUUGAUGUUCGUGUUGUUUCUUUUCUCUCUCUUUUGAUUUUUAUCUUUUGUUGAGUGAAAAUUAGUGUUGUCCUUUUUGCUAUUGAUUGGUUGUGGAUGUUCGGGGUUUUCUGUAGUGGCUAUGGAUCGUUGAUUGGGAAAAUCUCUACAAGCUUUGGUGUUUAUGGUAUGUUAUGUGAAAAUCUCUCCAAGGUUGCCUUUUUUUUCAAGGAACAAAAGAAGUUGACAAUUUAUUGGCUUUGGUCUUGUUUUAGAGUAUGCAAUAUAUUGAUGUAAGUUAUUGGGAAGAAGAAUUUGUUGAAGACCUUCUUGAGCAUCAUUACAGGUUUUGUUUUCUGAUAAUUAGUUUAACAUUUCUUCCUUUUAAAAAUGAAAAAAAAAAUCUUCUACAAUGACUUUUUUUCAUUAUUAUGGCAUUGCGUCAUUUCCUAUUUUUUCAAAAAUUUUAAAUUUUAAAUUUUGAAACCCUAAAACCUUUUCAAAACACUUCAAAUUUCAAAAUUUUAAAAUUUUUAAACACUAAAUCCUUUUCGAAACACUUCAAAAUUUGAUAUUUUAAAAUUUCAUAUUUUAAAAUUUACAAAAAUUUUGAAUUUUUAAAAAUUUAAAAUUUCAAAAUCUUUAAAUUUAAAACUAAAUUGAAGGCUUUAUAAACCCAUCAAACAUCUUGUUCAUUUUCCACAGUUUGAAUAACGAAAGAGCAGUUCUCCAUUUGAUAUAAUGAGAAAUUUUCUAUUGGAUUUACUUAUCACUUUUCCAUUUGAUUUCGUCAUAUAUUACCAUUUUAGUUAGUUCAAUCAAAAAACUUACGAUCGAAUUUGCACAUGCUCUUUUUCAUGUUGAUAUUCGUGUUGUUUAUUUUCUCUCUCUCUUUUGAUUUUUAUCUUUUGUUGAUUGAAAAUUAGUGUUGUCAUUUUUGUUGUUGAUUGGUUGUGGAUAUUCGGGUGUUUUAUGCAGUGGCUCUGGAUUAAAAAAAUCUCUAGAAGCUUUGGUGUUUACGGUAUUUUAUUGGCUUUGGUCUUGUUUUAGAGUAUGCAAUAUACUACUCUAAGUUAUUGGGAAGAGAAUUUGUUGAAGACCUUCUUGAGCAUCAUAACAGGUUUGUUUUCUCAUAAUUAGUUUAACAUUUCUUCCUUUUAAAAAUGAUAAAAGAUAUCUUCUACAAUAAAAAGCAAUCGAUGAUAAUUUUCCACUACAGAGACUUUAUGAAAAAUGAGAUCCGAUUGUAUUUGAAAUUAUGAAAGUCGUUACCUUGGGUAUACAUAUUUGAGUUAUUUACAAAUUAAAAUAUUUGUAAUAUGUACCAUAAACUAAAAUCAAUGAUCAUGUUGUGUUGUAAAUAUUACUUGAAGAUUGUAACUUUAACAACAAAGAAACCACAAUUUCUCUCAUUUUUUUUCUUCAUCCAGUAGUUCCCCUCCAAGGAAGACAUCAAGGUAUUGCUUUAUCAAGUUCCAAAAUUGAAAACUAAAGGUACCAGCAAUGCCAACAACACCAACACUACAAGGAAUACUUCUUUUUUAUAUUUGUAGGAUAAGAUUUGUGAUCAACUUUCUUGGAUAUUUUCAAUUCCAUAUUGCAAGCAUACUAGUCCAAAUCUCCAUCAUGAACAUGACCCAUGCUUUCUACCGACCCAUCACAAUAUAGUACCAAUACAGGAAUGACCGAAGAAUAACAAGCUGACCUUCAUUGACACUUCUUUACAAAGCCUUACAACUUGAUCCCCAAUAUCAGAAGCCAUCUGUUUUGCUGCAACAAGUUCAACCUCACUAGAGUGCACACCAUAUGCAGUACCAACAAUAGAGCACUUCAAAAAGUUCAUCUUCAAGUUGGUCUCUCCAUCCAAAUUUAUAAUCUCCAUUUUUUUUGGCAUUUCAUCAUGUUGCAAAAUUUCAACUGGUUUUUUCUCACAAUCAACCUGUUGUUCCAAGAAAAUACAAACAUGGUCGAGUUAGGCUUAAAGUCCACUUCGUAAUAUGGUAUCAGAACCAUUUAAAAUCUAUCAUAGAGAGAAUUUGUUGGGUCUAUCGUUCCACCUGCUAUCGGGCCGUUAUCGGACCACACAUAAUAUGUUGUCCCACGCACGAGCUGUCAUGCUCCACGUGAGGGGUGUGUGUUGGAGAUCCCACAUCAACUAGAGAUUAAAGUAUUUCAGUGUAUAUAAGUGAGUGCAAACCAUAAACAUAAAACAUAACACCUUGCACCGUAAUUGUAAACUCCAACCAUAAAAUUAUUUAAGACAUCAUUAAAUAAGUUAUUUUAAUCUUUUAAAUAUGUUAUAAAAAUAAUGUAGAAUUUAUGUAAUUUUUAUUACAUAUUGUCGAAUUAUGGAGUAUCAUUCAGUUGUAAAAUUAUUUUACGCUUUAGGUUUACAUAUUAGGGUUUUAGGGUUAAUGAUUUGGGAUUUAUGAUUUCAGGAUUAAGACUUUUAGCUCUAUGAUUUUUACGAUUUAUGCUUUAUGGUUUACAGUUAGCUUUAUGCUUUGUGGUUUACAGUUACACGUUACUUAGGAUUAUAGAAUUUAUGGCUUAGGUUUUUCUAGUUUUAGAAUGUAGGUUUGUUGUUUAUAACUUUGAUUUUAGGGUUUUCAGAGUUUACUAUUUAGGUUUAUGAUUUUGGUGUUAGGAUUUAGUUUUACCAUUUUUUAAUUAAAUUUUCAAUUAAAAAAGCCAUUAAAUAUGUUCAAAUUUAUCAAAUUUUUUAAAAUUUCACAAUUUAAUUACUUUUUCAUUUAAAAAUUAAAAAAAACAAAAAUUUGAAAAAAAAUUCAACAAAACUGAAGUCGUUCAUGUUGAACACAACUUCAAUGUAGUUUUAAUACAACUAAAGUCGUGUGUCGACUUCAAUUGUAUUAAAAUUACACAAGUUGUGCUCAACACACAAGACAUCGAUUAUGCUAAAGUUUUAAGAAAGUCGGCAUCUACAUGUACAAAUUCAGUGUGUAAUCAAACUUAUCUUCAAGGUGAAUAAUUUAUUUGAAAACAUCAUUAUAGAAAAGUUAAUUUCAUGAUACACAACUUCUUCAUUAAAAAUUUUCUUAUUUAGAAAGCAUGUAACUCCAACACUUCUUUCAAGCAUUUUUUACCUAUUAUGAAAAUAAUAUUUUUUUCUCCAUAUUAGGAAUAAACGAAUGAGACAUUUUUGGAAAAGAAACCUAUAAAUCGAGAAGUACAAAAAGUUUGUAUACUUUUAUAAUGAAUUUUUGUUGAUCAAGAUGAUCUUGAAGCUUUGAUGUCUCCAAAAUCUAUGGUGUUUGAUGGGAGGUUGAAGUUGCUGCUUGUGUGGGUGGGAUCUGGGUAGAUUAAUGUGUAAUUCACUCUUUGUUUGAAUCUAAAACAGUUUGGAAUCAUAACCUUUUUGAAAAAGAUUGUUUUUAUAAAGAAGUGGAAAAAACAACCAGUUGUUUUAUCGUUUCAAUCGGUUGUUUAACACUUAGUGGUUUUUGAAAAGGGUUUGAAGUUGUUUGACUUGGUUGACUUUGCUAAAACAGUUUGGAAUCAUAACCUUUUUGAAAAAGAUUGUUUUUAUAAAGAAGUGGAAAAAACAACCAGUUGUUUUAUCGUUUCAAUCGGUUGUUUAACACUUAGUGAUUUUUGAAAAGGGUUUGAAGUUGUUUGACUUGGUUGACUUUGCUGUCAAAACAAUUCAAUCGGUUGUUUCGAGAAAUCAAUCGAUUGUUUGUUGAAAAUCCAUAACAUAAUUUCUAUUAUGUUUGCAAAUCAGCUUUAAAUGUUUUCUAACUUAAUAGGCUCCUGCUUUAAAUGAUUUUAACAUCUUUUGAAGUAUUUAAAAAGGUUGUUAUACGCUCCUCAAGAGAGAACAGUUUUUACACAUUUGUGUAAGUGUGAAAACAGAUUUGAGUUUUCAAGAUUUACAUUCAAGCUUUUGGGUUUUCUCAAAGAAGUGGAAUAAGAUUGUUGUAAUCUUUUGAUUUGAUCUUCAUCAGGUGUAAUCCUUUCUGUAUCUCUUGUAUUUCUGAAUAUUGGUGUGUAAGUGCAGAAUCAGAGGGUGUUCUUAUUUUUGUGGUGUUUCUGUGCCAAAGGAAGUGUGUGACUUGAGGUGUUCAAGGUAACUUCUUUAGUGGUGUGUUUGUAAUCUGUAUUUUGAUUGCAUACUAGAUACCCAGUGGUUUCUGGGGACUGGAUGUAGCUCUUGGGAUAAGAGUGAACCAAUAUAAAUUGCUUGUGUGCUUUUCUCUUGCCCUGAACUCAUUUAAAUUCUGCUUUUAAGUUAUUUUUAACUCUACUGAUAAAAACAACCAGUUGAAUCGUAAAAUCAACAAUCAACUUAAACAAUUUUUGUUUGAUUUCUUUCUAGAUUUCUAUAUUUGUGAUUCUACAUUGAACUUCGUUAUACCUUCAAAGUUUGCAAAAAUCUUUCUUUCAUAAACAAUUCACCCCCCCCUUGUUUAAGGCCAUAUAUUCUAACAAUUGGCAUCAAGAGCUUGGUUCUUGAAAAAUAUUCAAGUUUGAUCCUAAAAAUCUUUUUCUUAUGGCUGAAAAAUUACCCUAUGGGGAGGGUGCAUCAAUAAACAUACCACCUUUGUUCAGUGGUUUGAAUUACCAAUUUUGGAAGGUACGUAUGAAGAUCUUUGUUGAAUCUCUUGAUAGAGGAAUAUGGGAUGCAAUUGAAAAUGAUCCUUUUAUUCCUAAGCUUGAAAAGGAUGGUGCUUUUAUUGAAAAUCCUUAGUCCCAAUGGACUGAUGCAGAAAAUAAAAUAGCAAAGUUAGAUUUCAUUACAAAAAAUAUUAUCACCUCUACCUUAAAUUCUGAUGAUUUUUUCAGGGUCUCUCAAUGCGGAUCUGCUAAGGAGAUGUGGGAUACUCUAUAAGUAACUCAUGAAUGAACGAACGAUGUAAAGAGGGCAAGGACACAUACUUUAAUCCAAGAGUAUGAAAUGUUCAAAAUGCUUAAAGGAGAAUCGAUUGUGGAUGUGCAAAAGCGGUUCACUCAUAUUGCCAAUCACCUCAAGAGUCUUGGAAAGGUCUUUGACAAAGAAGAGUUGAAUAUCAAAAUUCUCAAAUGUCUUGAUAGAUCUUGGCAACCUAAAGUCACGACUAUCUUAGAAUCAAAGGACUUGACAUCUUUGACUACAACCUCCUUGUUUGGAAAGCUUAGGAAGCAUGAGUUGGAGAUGAAUAGACUCACAUUCAAGAGAAUAAAGAAAAGCAUGUGAGAAACAUUGCCUUAAAAGCUGCCAAGCACAAGUUUCAAGUGAUGAGAGUGAGGGAGAAACUCUUAGUUUGUUGUCCAAAAAGUUCAGCAAAUUCUUAAAAAAGAACCGCAACAAAUACUCCAACCAAUGUAGUUAAAAUCGCGAGUAAACUUGCAAAAACGCACGAUUCAACGAUCUUGGAGCCAAAAACGAGUUGACUCGAACGGCGGAUCGCACCACGUCGUCGCCUCGCUACCUCGGAGGCCGUCUCCGAGUCGCCUCGCACAGUAGCGCGACACACAUGUUGACCUAAAAAGACCCUAAUUUGUUUUAACCUGAUGCGACAUGGUGCGGCCCAAUGUGUGGAUUUGUAAAGUGAAUAGUAAAAAAUUAGAAACCUUAAAAAAUAAAGAAACAUAAAAAUUGAGAAACCCUAAAUAGCACAAUACCGCACUACAGAACUUCAACGACGACGCCCCUACCGGUAGCGAACGCCACCGCCACUUCUGCCUCCGCUCUCGACGCCGCCACCGCGAACGGUAUUGUCGCCUCCACGAACGUUCUCCUCUUCUCUUCUCUCUCUCCAUCACAAUCUCGUGCUAUUAUUUUCUUCUCCAAGACAGUGCCUUCUAUUAUGGAUUCAAGAGGUGGGGACAGUACAAAAAAAGGAAGUAUCAAAAAAGACCCUGCAUGGAAUCAUUGUAUUUCUAUUGAUGGAAAAUCAAGAAACGUGAAGUGUAAAUAUUGUGAGAAGAUUUUAACGGGGGGUAUCUAUAGACUAAAGCAUCAUCUUGCAUGCACAUCGAAAGAUGUUCGAGCAUGUCUUGUUGUCCCAGAAGAAGUUAAAAAAUUAAUCUUGGGUACUGUUUCUAUGCUGCAGCAAAAUUUAAUCAAGAAAUCUAUGUUCGGAGUAGACUUGGAAAACAAUGUAGGUGAUUCUGAAAAUUUUAGAAAAAAACCUUCUCAAUAAGACAGUGUGGGGGGUGAGUCAUCAAGUAUUUUUAAGAGAAGAGAAAAUCAAAGUACUAUCAAUUCCAUCUUCAAGAAAAGUGAGAGGGAAGAUACAUGUCAACAAAUUGCUUUAUUUUUCUACAACAAUGUUAUUCCAUUUAAUGUAGCAAGGAGUGAAGAAUUCACUAAAAUGGUUGAAAUGAUUGCCAAACAUGGUCCUAGAAUUAAGCCUCCAUCAUACCAUGAAAUCAGGGUGAAAUAUUUGAAGCAACAGGUUGAAAAAACCAAUCAAAUAGUGGAAGAACAUAGAGUAUGUUGGAAAAAAAAAUGGUUGCACAAUAAUGACAGAUGGGUGAACUGAUAAGAUGCACCAUAUUUAAUUUUCUUGUAAAUAGUCCAAAGGGGACUGUUUUUUUGAAGUUGAUUGAUACUUCUGACAUAUCUAAGACAACUGGAAAAAAAAUUCAAGAUGAUGGAUGAUGUUGUUAAGGAGGUUGGGGAAGAUAAUGUAAUCCAGAUUGUAACUGAUAAUGCAGCAAAUUACAAAGCAGUUGUAGAUCUCUUAAUGCAAAAGAGAAAAAAAUUGUAUUGGACACCAUGUGCAGCACAUUGCAUUGAUUUAAUGUUGGAAGAUUUUGAAAAGAAAAUAUCACUCCAUCAGGAGACCAUAUCCAAUGGUAAGAAAAUCAUAGCCUACAUAUAUUCAAGAACUAGUCUUAUUUGUUUGUUGCACAAACACACUGAAGGGGUAGAUUUAAUAAGACCAGCUAAUACUCAUUUUGCCACUUCUUAUUUAACCUUGGGAUGUUUAAAUGAGAAUAAGAAAUCACUUAUUAGGAUGUUUACAUCUAAGGAGUGGCAAUCUAGUCAGUGUGUAAAGACUAGAGAUGGAAGGCUUGUUGAAAAUUUGGUAUUGAAUAAGGGAUUCUGGUCAAAUAUUUUGAAUUGUUUGAGGGGUGCUUUUUCCCUAAUUAAGGUGUUGUGCAUGGUGGAUUCAGAUGAAAAAACAGUCAUGGGAUUUAUUUAUGAAGAGAUGGACCUGGCUAAAGAGAAGAUACAAAGUCUCUUCCAUAGAGUUAGUAAAAGGUAAAUAACUAAUUACCUUUCACUUUUAUUUCAUUCCUAAUCUUUUUUAUAAAUAUAAACUUUGUUUCUAUAUUUAUUUAUUUAUUUAAUUUUAUCUUACUUAGUUACACUCCCCUUUGGGAAAUCAUUGAUCAAAGAUAGGACAACCAAUUACAUAGGCCAUUACAUGCUGCAGGGUAUUAUUUAAAUCCCAUAUUGCAUUAUCAUCCAGAAUUUAAAGUUGAUUAUGAGGUGAAACAGAGAAUUUAUGAAUGUUUACAUAGGAUGUGAGGAGACAUUGAUGAGAUAACUAAGAUUGAUGCCCAAAUUGAGAGUUUCAAGAGCAAAUCUGGAUUUUUGGGUAGUGAAAUAGCUCAACGUGCACACAAAACAAAAACUUCAGCACAGUGGUGGGAACAAUAUGGUGAUGCACUUCCGGAACUACAAAGAUUUGCAGUUAAUGUUUUGGGUUUGACUUGUAGUUCAUCUGGGUGUGAGCGCAAUUGGAGUGCAUUUGAAAGGGUAAACAUUUAAAUUUAUGAGUUCAUUUUAUAAUUAGAAUUUAUGAAGGAAUAAAUUUAUGAUGUUAUAAUUAUUUAGGUCCACAAAAAAAAAAUUGUUUACACCAGAAGACCAUGAAUGAUGUAGUCUUUGUGAUGACUAAUUCAAGAUUGAUGAAGAAGAAGGAUGUUAGGAACACAAAAAACUACAACACUGGUGAGCUUGCCUCUGAUGAUGAAUGGAUAGUGGAAGAUAAUGAAAUAAAUGAUGUUGAACUUAUGGAUGAUUUGGAUGAAGUUGGAGAAGUUGAACCUAUGGAUGAUUUGGAGGUUCCUCCAAUUGUUGCGGAUGAUAAAGGUCAUGGCAUAGAUAAAAUUAAUGAAUAUGAAGAUCUUGUAGAAAAUAAUGGUGAUUAUCCUUCAAUUAAUAUAAAGGAUUUCCUUUAAUACUUUAUUUUUAUUAGAUAUUUGUGAACUUAGUUGUUUUUUGUAUGAACAAUUUAUGAUUUAUGAAACUGUUUUCAGUUGUGUUAUAUAUUGAAUAUUAUUUUUCAUAUGUUAGUGACUCUUAAGAGUCGAGUUAUGAUUCUUGAGUUACGAUCUUUUAGCUCCUUCCCGAUCCUCAUACGAGUUACGAGUUUGACUAUAUUGACUCCAACCAAGAGAGGUGUGGCAAUAAGAAAACUAGUGAUUUUAAUGCUAACAAUUAUACUUGUUAUGGUUGUGGAGAACAGGGGCACAAAAAGGCUGAAUGCCCAAAUAAAGAGAAGAAGUCAAGCAAGAAGGAAAAGAAAGAAAAAUAAAAAAGAGCCUACAUUGCUUGGGACGAAAAUGAUGUCUCUUCAUCAAGUGAAGAUGAAGAAGUGAUAGAGAUCAAAUAGGAGAGGCUUUUAUUAAUGAAGGAAGAGGUCAUUCACCCACACAUUUGAAGUUCUUCCUUUUAGUCUUCUCAAAAUUUAAAGAAGACAUAAAAUAAAGAGAGGACCAAGCCUAAAGCCAAAGAAGUCUACAAGCUUUCAAAGAUGGGCUUCAAUUAAUAUCUCUCUUUAUAGUUUCUUUUGUAUAAAUUUGUAAAUAAUAUAGAAUAGUGUUUAGGUAGGUGCUAAGAGGGAAACCUAAAGAUACCUCUUAUGUAAAAGCAUCUUUAGAUUAUUAGUUUUAGAACAUUGUAGUAGAUUGACCCUUCAUAGCUCACUAUAGGCGCUAGAAGUGAGACAUGUGCAAGGGACCUUAGGUAGCUUCCUUUGUAAGCUUCUUUAAACUUUCAUGACCGGUCAUCCUUCUAUAAAAGGAGGGGCUAGAGUCUUCAUAAAACAGAAUUGAAAUUGAUAGUACCAAAACUCUCCCAAAAUUGGUGAGCAUUUGAGAGACUUAAGUCUUCUCUUCCUAGUCUUAUCUUGAGAGCAUUCUUGGAGCCUCAAGUGGCGACAUCUCACUCAUCUUGGAGCUUUGCAUCCUCCAAGUGGCAUGUUCUCUUCCAAGGACUCCAACCACAUAAGUCUCCUUCUAUUUUCCAUCUAUUUCCUCCAUUUCCAUGUCCAUAUAAACUCUUAAAACAUGUCUUAGGUCUUUUCUUGCAUUUCUAUUCAGUUCUUUGGCUUUCUUCUUGUUUUUGUUCGGUUCAUCUUCUUCUUUACUGCUUUUAAUUGGUUCAUCUUCCUUCUUUCAUGCUUUUGUUCGGUUUAAUUCAUUAGUUAGACAUUUUAAUCAGUUCAUUUGAGUUCUUGUGCCUUUUAAUCGGUUCAAUUGACAAGAAUGGAUUUCUACAUGAGUUUUGGCUUGGUUACUUAAGUUUUGGUGAGUUCUUGAAUGAAAGAACAUUGAUCCAAUUCUAGAAAAGUGUCUAAUCAUAUUCCAACUCAAGUUAUGAAACAUCUCUAUCUUGUUAUUGGAAUCAUAUCAUGAAGUUAAUCUGUGUUUGAUGGCCAAGGAAGAGGAUGAGGCAAGUAGUGUAACUUCUUGUACUUCUUUAAAUGCUGAAAAUUAUAGUCAACUUCUUCAAGCUUUUAAAGAAACACAUGAGGAAGCUAACCGGUUGGCUCUCUUGAACAACCGGUUAAAAGGGUUGAAUUACCCAUCAUGUGCGAUGUGUUGUGGUGUGAAUGAAUCAAUGCAACAUCUUUUUCUGGACUGUACAGUUGCCCAACAUGUAUGGGAUAGAUGUCUUAGAUGGGUUCGUAUAUUGUCUGUCCAACAUAGGAUUUAAAAUGUCACUUUGAGAAAUUCUACUUAGUACACUUUAACCAUAAACAGAAUAUGGUAUGGAAAGGUAUGUGGGUGACGGUUGUAAGAUGUAUUUGGGAGCAAAGGAAUCUAAUAAUCUUCAAACAAGGGGUAGUCGAUGAGGAAGAAAUCUUUCAUUUGGCUCAAAUCAAAGCUUGGCUAUGGAUGAAACAUGGACUACGCCCCUUUAAUUACUCUUUAGCGGAUAACACUUAAACCCAAUCCAAUGUAUAAAGAGUUAGUUGUGAUAAGUGUAAGAAGUGCAAAGGUGUACUGGCUGAGGUGUUUCAGCUGCCAAAGACUUCACAGAAUUCAGAAUUCUGCAGAAUUCUGAGGUAGAUAUGGAAGGAAUAAAAGUAUGGAUUAUGAAGGGUUAACCCUUCAUACCUAGAAGAAGGCAAAGCUAGAUUAUGUGAGACUUUGUUGUAACCAUGACCUUAAUAAGGGCAUUUUGUCUUUAUGCAACAAACCUAUGUCUGGCCCAUCCCAGCAAGACUACCGUGGGUGUUAAUUUUAGUGGGUUGAUGCUAAACUGUAUGAGCCUUAAUCCUAUAUGGAUGGGCUUGGCUUGGGGUUGUCAAGGGGUAUGAUAAGUAAUUUAGAUGGAUAAAAAUAUAAAAUUAAUAAAAUUUCUAUGUUUUUCAAAAUCCUAAAUAAAUACAAAAUCUAAAUUAUUUAAUGUUCUAAAUUUUAAUAAUUGUUUUUUAUUUGAAUUUGCAGGGUAAUAUAGUUGUUCUGAUCAUACUUUUACUUCUGCUCCUAGAUUGUAAUAAAUAUAAUAUCUUAUCAAAAUCUUGUAUUUCUAUCUUUGCAUUUGAACAAAAUAAUACUUUUACUUCCUUCUUUUUUUUAAGACUUAACUGUACAAGUAUGGUAGGUACAAAAUUAUUCUUUUUAUCUUUCAUAUAUUUUUUUUUAUCAGUUUUAUAUUUAAGUUAUAUGCAAUGGUAAUUGAAAUGUGUUGAUAUUAUAACCCAAUAUUGUUCAACACUAAACACUCAAUUUAUGCAAGCUAAAGUAAAGUAAGAACACUUCAUCUCUGCUGGUCAAUGAUCUAUUUAUAAAAUUUAAAAAAUGUUGAUUAAAAACUUAUUCAAAUGUAUUUAAUUGAUCGUUUCAAUUUGGUAAUCAAUUAUUGUUACUACAUUUUUUUUUAUCUAUUAUGACAUUUAUUAAUCAAUUAUUUCAGCGGUUUAUUUAACUUAGAAAACAAAAUUAUUUUUAUAUGCGGAAAAUUAAUCCGUUUUAGCAUUUGAAUACAUACAAUUUCACUUAUUUUAAUCAAUUAUCUUGUUGCAAAAUAUUUAAAAACAGUCCAAUCAAUUAUUUAAAUACAACACCACACAAGGCAACGACCCCACCCAAGUCCAGCCCAUGCACUUAAAUUCAAAACCGGUCACCCAAGUUCAAAAAAUUGGUUACCUAUUCACAGAACUAAAGAGAUGCAAUUUCAUUUAGGGUAAUCCACCCAACAAUCCCAUCAUUCAUCAACACACACACACAAUGCACACUACAACACGGCACAAGGCCACGACCCCACCCAAGGUCAGCCCAUGCACUCAAAUUUAAAAUCGGUCACCCAAGUUCAAAAAACUGGUUACCUAUUCUCAAAACUAAAGGGAUGCAAUUUAAUUUAGGGUAAUCCACCCAACAAUCCCAUCAUUCAUCAACACACACGCACACAAUGCAUACUACAACACCACACAGAACAACAGCCCCACCCAAGGUCAGCCCAUGCACUCAAAUUCAAAAUCGGUCACCUAAGUUCAAAAAUUGGUUACCUAUUCACAAUACUAAAGGGGUGCAAUUUCAUCUAGGGUAAUCCAAGCAACUAACUGCAACCAAGUUCCAAAAAUCACUAACUGUGUCCAGCCCGUGCAUUGAAAAAUGAAAAGAGGACACCCAAGUUCCAAAAACCACUAAGUACGGCCACCCCAAGCAUUGAAAAAUGAAAAGUGGACACCCAACUUCCCAAAACCAUACAUUGCAAAAAAAAAAAAAUACUGCAUUACUUCGUCAACAACCAAAGACAUUUACGUUGACCUAAUGUCGAAUGCCGUUCAAAAGAAAUCAAACCUUCUACGGUUGUUUCUCCCAAAAAAUAAUUGUAUGGUUAUUUCUCCCUCCCUCCACCAAGACGACGAUGCAACGAAUGUUUGUUAUGUGCUUUACAUGUACUAUGACCGUUGUGUUUGACUCCAUGAGUUUUACAUGUAAAGCGAGCGGUGAGUGUGACCCACCGCUUUCACCGCUUAGCAACAUACAUAUAAAUACAUAUUGUAAAACCAUGGAAAAAUAUGAUGAUAAUACACAUUUUACUGACCUUUAGAUUCUUCCUCUGUUUUAUCUUCUCUGUGUGAACCCGAUUAUAGAUUCUUUUUCUAUCACACCCCCUCUGGCGCUAUGGUUGUUCUUUGUCCCUCCCACCUUCGACAACAAUGCUCUCAGUAAACCCUUUGCCUCCAAAUUCUCCCGUUUCCACAACAAAGUAAAAAUCAAAACCAGACUCAAACCCUAAAGUUACCAUUCUACCCUCAUGUAAAUGAAUUAUCACACCGGUUGGUAGUCACAAACUGCCCUCAUGUAAACUGCCCUCGCCUUGAAUUUCAACCGAUGUUAUAUUCCAACGCCUUCGAAUUUGAAAAAGAUGCAUUUCAUAGCAUCAGUUAUGAGUUUCAACCGAUGUUAUAUUCCAACGCCUUCGAAUUUGUAAAAGAUGCAUUUUAUAGCAUCGGUUAUGAGUUCCAACCGAUGUUAUAUUCCAAUGCCUUCGAAUUUGAAAAAGAUGCAUUUCAUAGCAUCAGUUAUGAGUUCCAACCGAUUUUAUAUUCAAUCUCCAUCGAAUUUCAAAAACAUGCAUUUCAUAGCAUCAGUUAUGAGUUUCAACCGAUGUUAUAUUUCAUCACCAUCGAAUUUCAAAAACAUGCAUUUCAUAACAUCGGUUAUGAGUUUCAACCGAUGUUAUAUUCCAACGCCUUCAAAUUUGUAAAACAUGCAUUUCAUAGCAUCAGAUUCCUCUACUAAACCCUAAACCCAGAAAAUUGCCACCAUUACUUUAAGUGCUUCACAAACGAAAGGAACAACCAAGGAGCGAUGAUCGCACGAUGAAGACGGUUAAUAAUUCAUUCACUACAUCGGUUGGUAGUGACCAUGCUGCCGUUUAAAUGGUACAUGUGAAUCACUAUUAUUGCCACAUCACUACCAGGACAAUUACCAUAAACCCCAGUGUCACAUCCUCAACUACUUCCAUGCAAGCGACGCCAACUCUGGGUUAGUGGUAGAGGGUGUUUAAUAAAACAUUUUCGAAAAAAAUUUACACACUUUUAAAAAGAGUGGAUUUAUGCUUCCUCCGUAUCAACACAUUCGAAAUUUGAAAUUGAAAAACCAUUACAUUACACCAACCAAAACACCUAUUUUAGGUUUGCGUGCGAGAAAAAGCAAAUGAAUUGAUAUUGAAGAUUUGAAACUCAAAAACGAUUAAGUUAUUUAUGUAAGUUAUUUUUUUGUGUAAAUUUUGCACCAGCACCCAUUUUAGCUUCCGUGAAAAAAAAAAAAAAAACCCUGAUUUCCUCCCUCGAGAGUACCUUCGACAUUUGUUCCCUUCAUAGCACCUUGCAUUUGUACCCGUGUCUUAGUAGACCACUUUGUGUGACACAUGCACUUUCUUCUUUUGGUAAAUAUUUGAAAGUUUAGACCUAUUUUUGGUGUCACAUUUUUACUAUAAAAAAAUUAAAUAAUAUAAAAAUACCCCUUGCUUACGCAAGCGAAGGUUUUGAACUUUUAUAUAUUGGUAUAGCCCUUCUGAUUUCGUCCCAGUGUUCCCUACCGAUGGAUUCCUCAACAGCAAUACUGUGUGUGCUCACUGUCAUCAUAGCUGUGCUUCCCGUCUGGGCAAUGAAGACGCUGAACUCUCUGUGGCUUAGGCCUAAGAGGUUGGAGAAGCUUCUAAGAGCACAAGGUCUUCAUGGAGACCCAUACUCCCUUUCACCCCCCUCCUCCAACCAAAACCACCCUCCACAAAACACGCCUCCUUCUCAAUCUUUUCUUCUCUCUGAUGAUGCUGCUCCUCGCGUCUUCUUGCCGGUUUACAACACUGUCGCCAAAUACGGUUCACUAAAUAAUUAACUUCUAGCUACACAUAACUUUCGCACGGCUCAAACAAAUUUUUGAGCAGUUGCUAAUAAUUGAAUUAUUUGCAGGCAAGAAUUCGUUCUUAUGGGAAGGCAGAACACCAAAGGUCAUCAUUACUGAUCCAAAUCACAUCAAAGAAGUCUUCAAUAACAUUCAUGAUUUCCAGAAACCAAAGAUGAGUAGCAUUGCCAAGUUCUUCAUCUGUGGUCUGGUAAGUUACGAGGGUGAUAAGUGGGCUCAACAUCGAAAGAUUAUCAACCCUGCAUUCAACUUAGAAAAAUUGAAAGUAAGCUUAUUGCUUUAAUUUAUGAAUAAUUAAUAUUUUUGUAGUAUUACCCAAUUAUAAAUCGAUAUGUACAAAAGGUUUGUAUACUUUUAUAAAGAAUUUCUGAUUGGUUUGAAUUGAUGUAGAUUAUUUAAUUUGUGUUUAGUAAUCAAAUUAAACUCUUAAUUGAUACUUAAUUUACAGAAUAUGCUACCAGCGUUCUCCCAAAGUUGCCAUGAUGUGAUUAGCACGUGGAUGCGAAUGUUGUCAUCCGAUGGAAAAUGUGAGAUUGACGUUUGGCCUUUUCUUCAGAAUUUGACUCGUGAUGUAAUUUCUAGAACAGCUUUUGGAAGCAGUUAUGCAGAAGGAGAAAAAAUAUUUCAACUUCUGAGAAUUCAGGGGUACCUUGUUGCGACUGCAAAGUGGAACAAACCAAUAUUGCGGUAAGACCACACUUAUUCUUGGUAAAUGUGAUUACUAAAUUAAGCAUCUUUUAGUUUUAUUGAAACUGAACUCACCGUGAAUUUCAUAAGAACCUCAAAGAAUCACCCUAAAAGUUAGUCAUUGUAGAUAGAGAUUAAAGUAUAAGUC
rnacentral:lncRNA from 1 species